rnacentral:rRNA from 1 species
UGGGGAAUAUUGCACAAUGGGCGAAAGCCUGAUGCAGCAACGCCGCGUGAGUGAUGAAGGCCUUCGGGUUGUAAAGCUCUAUCUUCUGGGACGAUAAUGACGGUACCAGAGGAGGAAGCCACGGCUAACUACGUGCCAGCAGCCGCGGUAAUACGUAGGUGGCAAGCGUUGUCCGGAUUUACUGGGCGUAAAGGAUGCGUAGGCGGAUACUUAAGUCAGAUGUGAAAAUCCCGGGCUUAACUUGGGAACUGCAUUUGAAACUGGGUAUCUAGAGUGCGGGAGAGGAAAGUGGAAUUCCUAGUGUAGCGGUGAAAUGCGUAGAGAUUAGGAAGAACACCAGUGGCGAAGGCGACUUUCUGGACCGUAACUGACGCUGAGGCAUGAAAGCGCGGGGAGCAAACA